AAGUCGUAACAAGGUUUCCGUAGGUGAACCUGCGGAAGGAUCAUUAUUGAAUGAACUUGGUGUGAUUGUUGCUGGUCCUUUUGGGAUAUGUGCACAUCUGCCAUCUUUAUAUCUCCACCUGUGCACACAUUGUAGGUCUGGAAUAACUAUCUGGGGUAACUCAGUUGUUGGAAUUGCUGCUGGAAAGUUGCUUUUCUUGUGUUUCCAGAUCUAUGUUUUCAUAUACACCAUAAGAAUGUAACAGAAUGUAUUAAUGGGUCUUGUACCUAUAAACUAUAUACAACUUUCAGCAACGGAUCUCUUGGCUCUC
rnacentral:misc_RNA from 1 species